AAUGGGCUUGGCUUGGAAUGGGCAAGGAUCCAGCUUGGAAUGGUUUUUCGGUUGGAAUGGGAAUGGAUCCACCUUGGGACUGAUUUUGGGUUGGAACGGGAAAGGAGCUGCCCCCCCUGGACUGGGAUUGGCUUGGAAUGGGGAUGGAUCCACCUUGGGAAUGGGAUUGGCUUGGAAUUGGGAUUGAUCCUCAUUGGGACUAAUUUUGGGUUGGAAUGGGGAUGGAUCCACCUCGGGAAUGGGCUUGGCUUGGAAUUGGGAUGGAUCCACCCUGAGACUAAUUUUGGGUUGGAAUUGGGAUGGAUCCACCUCAUGAUGGAUCUUAGAUUGGAAUUGGAAUGGAUCCACCUUGGGAUGGAUUUCAGGUUGGAAUUGGGAUGGAUCCACCUCGGGAUGGAUUUCUGGAACGGGAAUGGAUCCAGCUUGGGUUGGAUUUUGGGUUGGAAUUGGGAUUGAUCCACGUCGGGAUGGAUUUAAGGUUGGAAUGGGAACGGAUCCACCUUGGGACUGAUUUUGGGUUGGAAUUGGGCUGGAUCCCCCCCCCCCUGGAGGUGGGUUUGGAUUGGACUGGGGACAGAUCCCAGUCCA